CGGAAAGGCCCUCUGCUUGCAGAGGGUACUCGAGUGGCGAACGGGUGAGUAACACGUGGGUGAUCUGCCCUGCACUGUGGGAUAAGCCUGGGAAACUGGGUCUAAUACCAUAUAUGACCGCNUUUUGGAUGGUGUGGUGGAAAGCUUUUGCGGUGUGGGAUGAGCCUGCGGCCUAUCAGCUUGUUGGUGGGGUAAUGGCCUACCAAGGCGGCGACGGGUAUCCGGCCUGAGAGGGUGUACGGACACAUUGGGACUGAGAUACGGCCCAGACUCCUACGGGAGGCAGCAGUGGGGAAUAUUGCACAAUGGGCGCAAGCCUGAUGCAGCGACGCCGCGUGGGGGAUGAAGGCCUUCGGGUUGUAAACUCCUUUCGCUAUCGACGAAGCCANUUUGUGGUGACGGUAGGUAGAUAAGAAGCACCGGCUAACUACGUGCCAGCAGCCGCGGUAAUACGUAGGGUGCGAGCGUUGUCCGGAAUUACUGGGCGUAAAGAGCUCGUA
rnacentral:rRNA from 1 species